GAAUAAUGAUGAUAACUUGCGCCAUAUUCAAGGAGGGGUCCUUCAUCAUAAUCUGAUCUCAGAUACAAAAAUGCGCAUCUGAAUUC